AUGCUGAGGUCGCGUGUUCGAUCCACGCCGGAGGCUGCCUUCGUAGCUCAGUGGUAGUAGCGCAGCACUCGUA